UCCGGUGACUAUAGCAGGAGGGUCCCACCUGUUCCCAUUUCGAACACAGAAGUUAAGCCUCCUCGCGCCUAUGGUACUGCCAACACGUUUGGUGGGAGAGUGGGUCGUUGCCGGAA
rnacentral:rRNA from 1 species